CGCAUAUGAUAAAUUAACGUGGAUCUAGUAAACAUGUCAUGUUAAAACAUAUUUUGAUUUGGCCGUCCAAAGCAUUUAGUUUGUUAAUGAAAAACAUUGAUUGGUUUAUGUUUGUGGCAUUUGAACAGAUUACCAACUAAUUAUCAAACAUCUUUCCAAUCUGAACACUUUUUAAUGAAUUAAUACAUACUAUAAACUUUUUCUUUAUGAAUGAAAGAGUGCAUAGUAUAAACUUUUUUC